rnacentral:lncRNA from 1 species
AGAACAUCUCCUUCACAGCCUUUCAUUUCUGGUGCAAUAGAUGCUUUAAUGAAGCUGUGGCACUGUGUUAGUCCCAGGAAUUUCAACCACAGAUGAUUUAACAGAUACCAAAUUUAAUGUUUUAAGUAACACAAAUGUGAGCCACAUGUUUUACUUGGAAUGCAAAGAAAAAGAAAAAAAAAGUCAAGUUACCUUUCUAAAAUGUGGCAUUUUAUGCUAGGUAUGAAAUGUUGAUAUGUUCUUUAAUUGAAAAGGGCAAUGGUUUCUCUAUGAAAAGAUACUCUAUUAUUACUUUUCUUGAUCAGAGAUUUUGAAUUAAAAAUGAACUGAAGCUCUUCAGAUUGCAACCAAUUGACAUGACCAUGUAUGGCACUAGAGCUGGGGAAGAAGUUUGUACUUCAUAUGCUCUUUAAUUAACUGCAGGUCAAGGAAGGUUAACCUAAACCAACCUGUGGCAAAAGGCCUUUCCCUCUUAUUUUCAAGACCAUCAAUAGGGGACAUGGAAAAUAGGAAUGUGCUACACAUAUUGAUUAUAUUGUGCACUAGCAUGAUGUUACUUCUCUGUCUUUUGAUUGAGAGACUGCUUUAUUUAUUUUGAACUAAUGAUUGCUGUAAUCAAUAACUCUUUGUUAAUUGCAGUACGUGCUGUUGGCGUACGCUGUCAUUGUGAUUCUAAACUGCCCAAGAGUGCUGUUUGUGGGGCAGCGUCCAAAUGAGUCAAAACCAUACAAAAAAAACUUCCUGCCUGUGGAAAGUUGGAGCACACUUUUUGUCACGUUACUCAGAAUUGGAAAACCUGAAAUGUCUACACAGACAGACUAUAUUGAAAAGGGCACAUGCAUUUAUUUUAUAUAUUUUAUUUUUUAAAAAAAUCAGUAGGCAAGGCAAAUGUUUUAGCUUUAUGGUAAAUCACUGAGAAACCUUUUCUGAAAAAAUAACCUGUGUUUUUGCUGGUACAUUGCUGUAUAUUCAGCAAGGAACUCGCAUGGACUGUAGAAGAGAAUUCUUUAUACUCAAAGUUCUAGUAUAGAUUCAUAUUUUAGAAAGACAUAGGGACCUUGCAUCAAAAAAGCAGAUCUUUUUAUGUUUUAUUAAGAUGUUUUUGUUAAACAGGACUUUAGCAUUCUUACACAUAAUUGUUAGUUCCAAAGGAAGGCAGCAGGCUCUGUCCUAUGAGACACCAUCUGUACAAAACAGAAUAGUGAACUUAAUAGAUGCUUCUUUUCUUCUCUUUAUUUGGGUAUUUUUUUCUCUUCUCAUUGUUUUUGUGCAGGGUUUUAAUGCAGCUGAUCUGGUUAGUCAAUCUGUAGAAAACAGUGGUCCAGUCCUAGAAGUUCUUAGCCAAGUGAGCCUGUUCCCUAGUGAGCUAAUUAAAGCAUCAGCUGGCAGGAGCUGUAGGCCUGUGGAUUGUGACAUUUAUCUUAGCCUCAGUACAGGCUGGUGCAGUGGAAUUUAACAUCCUUCACAGAGUAUUUGAUUUAAUUCUCAGAUGAGAAUCCUUGGAAAUAUUGACUCUAGAUUAAAUUACAGCACUGUAGCUUGAGCAGGAAAGAAAAAUUACAUGUUUGCUUUCUGCAUAAUUUUUAUGUUAACUGUAGAAAGUAUUUCAAGCUGUGUAAUGCAAGGCUUAGGUGCAUACUUAAACUAGAGAUGUAAGUGCUAGGCCAGAUUUUGAAAUAGUAGCAUCACCAGGAACACAAGGAAAUGUCUGUUUUAUCUUGCAAUACAAGGCAAUUUCAUAGUUCAAAGACUUAUGUAGUAUAGUUCUUAUGCUACAGUGUAGUGAGGUAUCAAACCAUGUUUUGCAUUCCUAUUAAUCAAGCAUUUUCAUUCUGCUAGUGCCAUGAAAAUGCUUCUAAAUGUGUUUUGGGAAGUUUCCAUGGUUUAAGAUGUGACAAUAAUCCACAAACUUUUGGAAUAGAAUGAACCAUAUCCUUUCUUCCAAUAUUUAUUGCUGUACACUAUGAAGAAAUACAUUUCUACAGUAAUAAGCGUUUGAAAAACCUGCAGUGGUUUGUGUUUUUGCUAGCUCCUAUUUUUUAAAAAAGUUGAAUCAAGUGCUUACCUGCUUUCACUGUUUAUACAGUGUUAGUGGGGAGAGUCUGGGCUUCAUUAGUAGCUGUCUAUCAAACCUGUUUCCUUUGCACACUGCGUAGUCGUAGCCUGAUGAUUAACAACAGAGGCAUGUUUCUAGCCAGAUUUCCUACUCUGUGGCCUCUGUUUCCUCCCUGGAAGGCCUGAGGCAUGUUUGCUGUGAAUUGUUUUCUCCCCCAGUUCUAUCUUCACAAAGAAACCCCCUCCCUGCCCCAAAACUUGGGUACUAGAACCAUAAUUUAGGUAGUCUUCAGGCAUUUAAAGACUGUCAUUUCAGAACCCUACAGUUUUACUUAAACCUAGCAACAACUAUGUCUUUGACAUGGGGAGCUGCUGAGCAGUUCCCCUCCACCCAUUUGGAGCUGCUCAGAGCAGUUCCACAUCUACCUACCAAGUGGGAUAUCCAGAAACCACUGAUGUAAUAGGGUUUAUUUUAGGUACAAACCAAAAGGCCAGGCCACCCUCAAGUUGUGUUUGCAUGUGUUUUGCUUUUAAAACAGCCAUUUUCUCUAGAGUAGCCUGAAGUGAACAUAUUUGCAUAGAACAUGGAGACCUGUGUGUUCUUUCUUAGCCUGCAAGCAUUCAGUCCACGUCUCCCACCCUCUGGUUGUCAAUGGGCUAAAGGAACUACUGGGACUGGUCCAGGCAGUCAUGAAGGUAGUCAUCCUCACUGGCUGAUCUGAGACUAGCUAGAGAGACACAGUCUGUCUGCCCUGCUGUCUUUCAUCCCCGUGAAUCUUACAGUCUUCCCAUUUUAAAGGGACACACAGGAGAUAGUUGCCCUAAUUUUUCAGGUAGUAAUUUUUCCUCCCUAGACUAUUCCUGUUUUCAAGGUCAUCUGCUAGAGAAUUUAGGAUUCCCAUAAGAGAAUUUGAAUUCCAGUAAGCUGAGUAAGGACUGAACUGGGGCCUUGCAGUUGGUGUGUGUGUGUGCGUAUGUUCUCAGAUCUCGAUGGCUGUUUGAGAGUACAUUGGGACCACCACCUCUGGCUCUUCCUCAGGAAGCUUCAUGCAAAUCCUCCGAAAGCUUACACACAUAGGCUCCUGUACAUUGAGUUCUGAACAGAUUGAAGGCCCCACCUAUCUAUUCAACAUAGAUUUAGUACAAGCUGCUACAAUCAGUCAUGUUUUCUUUGGAAAGCUUUUGCAAAUAGGCUCUGUGUUUUGGGUUACCAGUCUUAGAUGAGCUCGUCCAUGCACUGUACUGGGCAUCCAAACAUACUGGGCAGCCAACAGGUAAUUUGGGUUCUUCUCAGGGGUGCCACUUUUGUAAAGAGGCAUUGCUGUACCUAAUAAUGAAAUGCCAAAAGCCUUCAUUGAACCUCAAACUAAAUCCCAAUUUAAAUAAAGAACUGCUAUUAACAAAUGAAACUUUACUGUUUCUAUCUGCUAACUUGUUCUGUAAACUAGAAAUCUUAAUUGCAGCAAAAGCAUGUGUACAGAUUCUGUUUACACUUGAAACUAAGUCAAAAAAGUAAUUGGCAAAAGAAUAAUCCCAUUUGAUCAAAACUGGCACUGUUAAGCAACAUGGGGAGGAUGUUAGUCAUACCCUAGUAAUGGCUAAAAAUGUGCAGUUGCUGAUGUAAAUUAUAUCCACAGAAAGUUUCUUUGUAAGUAAAUACCUGGUUAAAUUUAAAAUGAUAAAAGAAUAAAUUACUCACAUGAAAGCCAUACCUCUCCUGUGCUGUUUGAUCGGCUCUCAGAGUGCUGUACCCCAGUAACCACUUUUCAUGAGUGGCUAUUGCUUUUCCUGAUUUACAUCAUGUAUUCCACUGACUGCUCCAUAAAUCUGUUAACUUUCAUUAUCACAAAGCUUAACAGUGGUGCUGAAAACACAAGAAGAGUAAACAGUAGUACUGUUGAGCAGUUGUAGUAAAAAAACGUGGUAUUAAUUUUUCUUUUUUCUGCUGUUACUUUGCAAACUGGAUUUGCACUGGUUUAGCAGAACAGCCCUGUUUGGCUAUUUCCAAUAGUAUAAGUCUGAGUAGUAUUGUAGCAGAGUAUGUUUUUACCUCUUUCCUGCCUCAGCUCCUACUCUGAGAUAAUGUAGUGCAAGUUUGUAAUAGUUCCAUGCAUUUACUACAUUGCUGGAAUUAUUCUGACUCUAUAUUACUGCUACUAAAAGCAGAGACUGACACACAAGCUCAGUGAAAUUGUGUGCUCAGAGUAUGUGAUGACACACUUUUCAUUUGGUUUGGCCUACUGAAUGUUGAGAGCUGCUGGAAUGAACCCACUGGUAUUAGGAAUCAGCAGAAGUGCUGGUUUUGGCUAAGAUCAAGUUAAUUUUCUUCACAGUAGCUGGUAUGGGGCUGUAUUUUGGAUUUGUGCUGAAAACAGUGAUGAUAAGAUGCUUUCAUUGUUGCUAAGCAAUGCUCACACACAGCCCAAGCCUUUUCUGCUCCUCACCCCACCCCACCAGCGAGGAGGCUGGUGGUGCACAAGGGCUUUGGAGGGGACACAUCUGGGACAGCUGACCCCAACUGACCACAGGGGUAUUGCAGACCAUUUGUUGUCAUGCUCAGCAUAUCAAGUUGGGGAAAAAAAAGAAGGAAGGGAGGACAUUUGGAGUGAUGGAGUUUGUCUUCCUAAGUCCUAUGUGUGUUGGAGCACUGCUUCCCUGGGGAUGGCUGAUCACCUACCUGCCCAUGAGAAGCAGUGUAUAAAUUCCUUGUUCUGCUUUGCUUGCAGGUGCUGCUUUUGCUUUGGUUAUUAAACUGUCUUUAUUUCAACCCAUGAGUUUUCUCACUUUCCCCCUUCUGAUUCUCUUCCCCCAAAUCACUGGGAGGGGUGAGUGUGGGGUGUGGAGUGUGGGCUGUGGGGGGCUGAGCUGCUGGCUGGGGUUAAACUGCAACAGCAUGCUUUUUUGGAGACUAACUUUCAUGAAUUACUCAAAGGAAAGAAAUGGGAGUGAGGGAUAGGACAGAAGAGAUGAAUUCAGAGUCAAAAGUACCUACUGUAUAUCAAUUGAAACAAAGAGCAGGGAAGGGAAUCACAGUUGGUACUUGAGACAGUGAUGACUAUAGGGCCAGUUUUUUUUCAACUGUUUCUUGAACAGGUUAGGUUUUUACCAAUUAUAUUGCUACUUAUUACCAUUUUACACCUGCAAUGCUUCUCAAAUCACCACGGUGUUUAAGCUACCUUUUGCAGGAGUCUCUUGCUUUGUUUUCAAGUCGUAGUGGAUAAACCCUUGACAAAUCUGAAAUCAUGAAAUAACAGUGUCGAUGCUGCCACUUUCAACAGAUUAAUGCAAAUUCUUUAGGUGCUGUUCACAGUUCAGGUGAAUUAUAUGUGUAACUGAUGUAUUAAUAGUUUCAUUUUUGAAGCAUAUAUAGGCAAAGCUUUUUAUGUACUCCCAAUUUAUGUUGCAAUGAAAUAAAUACUUUAAAAAAGCUUAUGCUCCCCAUUAGGGAUUUCUGGGUAAUUGUUGUUUUUUCUUUGUUAUCCAUCCAAUCAGUAAGUGGUAUUAUAUUUUUUCUUAUAAAGCAAAGACAAAAUUAUGCAAAUGAUGAGACAGGUAAAUAUUUAGGAAAUGUUUCUAAGGCUAAGCAAAAAAAGGAAUAUUUUCAUUUUACAGUGCCCUGGGUGUUUGGAACUUAAAAUAUUUUGCAGCGAAAGCAUUUUCCUAAAUGCAGAUUAGCAUAUACUCCACUCAACUUUUAUUUCCUUUUUUUGUUGUUGUUGUUGUUAGUAUGUUAAAGUGCAUUAUUCAUUUAUUGAAGUUACAUGUAGGUUUUUCCAGGAUACUCUCCUGUAUUAUGUCCCACAUGUCAGAUUUUUGUCUGGUGUAUAUUAACAGCAGCAUAAGUAAAAGCAGAAUCAAAUACA